rnacentral:lncRNA from 1 species
CCGCCCCUCCCCACACACCGAAACCGGAAGUGACCCCACACCUACCGGAAACGGAAGUGCACGGGAGCCACCAGCCCCGCCGCCGGGACGGUGAGGAAGUAGAAUCCGCCGUAGGCGAAGGCCGCGGCCCACAGCAGCAGCGCCGCUCCCGCCCCGCACAGCGCCGCCCGCACCGCGCAGCGCCGCGCCCCGAGCAGCAGAGCCCGCGGCCAUUGCGGGGCGGCGCCGUGCGCGGGGAGCAUCGGCGGCCGGGACCGGAAGGGGCGGGGCCUGGGCCGGAAGUGGGGCGGCGGGGCCACGCGCCGCCGUCUCCCUGCGCUGCGCUCCACGCUCCGCCUCUAGCCCCGCC